rnacentral:tRNA from 1 species
GCGGGGGUGGUGAAACUGGCAGACACACCAUCUUGAGGGGGUGGCGCUCACAAGGCAUGCGGGUUCAAGUCCCGCUCCCCGCACCA